CAUGCUGGAGGACUUGGAGAGGAGGAAGGGCAGCCGGGCAAGGAAUCCAGGCCCUUCCAGACCCUGGAGCAGGCCGGGAAGUGGCUUUUCAGACAGAACCACUUCUGUGGACAUCCUGCUUUUAGGCUUCUGACCUCCAGAAAAUACCGAGUCCUUCUCUGGCAGCCCCAGGGAGCGACGGCGCCAUCCGCACGGCAGAGCUCUCCAGCUCCCCAGGGUGUGUGCCCAGUCGCCGCCCACUCCUCCACUUGGUACCUGGUAGGCACCCGACUUCAGCUCGUCCGAAAGCCCUUCCUGGUUUUCCAGAACCUGCUCCAUCUGUGCCCUCCCAGCUGAGUCGGCCUCAGCUCCGUGCCCUCGGGGAAGCCCGCACAACCUGGGAGCUGCCCUGGACUCCUCCCUGAGGACACCGAAAAGCCAGAUGCCCUCAUGGUCCAAGUCCCGCUGCACCACCGCCCAGAUGUGCGCCGCCUCCUCAUCGGUGAGCUGGGAAAGGUCCAGCUUUCGCCCCAUCUCUGCCUCUGGUCUGAGUCACACCUGGAACGUCACAGGGUCACAACUGGUCAGCCCCAGGAAGCCCACAGAUGCCACCCGAGUCCUAGAGUAAGAGGAGGGACAGCAACGUUUCCUCCGAGUGUCUCGCAGUUUCCUGCCUGGAAAUUGGUGUCACCUAAUAAAUCCUGCACAGUUCACCAAA